rnacentral:rRNA from 1 species
UACGGAGGGAGCUAGCGUUGUUCGGAAUUACUGGGCGUAAAGCGCACGUAGGCGGCUUUGUAAGUUAGAGGUGAAAGCCCGGAGCUCAACUCCGGAAUUUGCCUUUAAGACUGCAUCGCUUGAAUCCAGGAGAGGUGAGUGGAAUUCCGAGUGUAGAGGUGAAAUUCGUAGAUAUUCGGAAGAACACCAGUGGCGAAGGCGGCUCACUGGACUGGUAUUGACGCUGAGGUGCGAAAGCGUGGGGAGCAAACAGG